CGGGACAUCUCUGCAGCCGGUGAAAGACUGAAGGCUCUGAGACAUCCCAACACCAGGAAGCAGCAAGAGCAGCGGAGAACAGUGACGCCGGUUCCUUAGCAACGGGGGAACGGAGGACGAAGAGCGGGCCAAGAGAUAACGUGGCAUCAAUCUAUCAUAUGUAUGCACAUGCCGACCAGCUGAUGGCUGCUCCCUAUAUUAUCAUCAAUCACUUUGCAUGGAUAAGUCUGUUUGUGAUCAUGACUACUCUUCAGCUGAAGUGUUCUCCUCCGAUACGACCUCCAAAUUGUAGAUCCCCCAAAUUGCCUACUGAGGAAGGGGUCGCUUCUAGUACCCUGAAACGUGUAUAGGUUAUCAUUCAAGUCUGAACAGAGCGAUAUUUACCUGUAUUGAAGGCAGCACAUCUUCACGGAAUACAACGCACAGCAAAGCACAGCAAAGAUCUACAUUUCCAUCACGAGCAUCCAGCCGCAAGCAAGCGUGUGAGGGUCUGACACCCUAACUGGUAAAUACCGACAUCCUAGACCACUCACAUAGGAGUCUCCUGCCUGAGUUCUCCUCACAACAGGCUCGCAAAGAUUACCCUGUCUCUCCACUGCCGGUAACUUAACAGCCACUGCAGGACUCAACAUCUUUGGCCCGUCGCAGUUACCCCGGUGAGAACCAACCACUUUCGGCCCGUCGCAAUCGGGGACCAGCUGAUGCCAUGGUGAGAACCAUCUAUUCCUAUUACCUAUGGAUAGCACAGUCUAAAAUUACUACCAAGGCUGACCUUCAUAACCAAUUUUUUUAGUGCCAGAUUACCAGUUCAUUCUGAACUAAAAGCAUAUGCUAAUAAUAUUUUUUGCUGGCUUAUUAUCAAUAAGUAGUUGUUUUACAACAUUUAUUAUAAUUCUGCCAUUAGGGCCCAAUGGCAGUAUA